GCACCUUCGGAUGAGGAAAAAUGCGCUCACGAAGGGAAGCGACGGAGAGCAAAUUUAGUGAAAAUGAGAGAAAUAACGGGCAGGAGACAGGGGGUGUUACGAGCCAAUGACCUCCUCCUCGGUGCCUUUUGACGGAGCUGUGAGCGGAGUCCCUUGGGCACAGAUUUAUCAACAAUAGGAAUCAUCCUGUUCUGAGUACCAGAUACUAGAGAAAAAUAUCAGAAGACUGUUGUCCUCCCAUUCUGCUUGGGAGGUUUCCAGAAGCAUCUGGCUGCAUCUACAUCCAUACGGUAUACUCUGUUUAGGAUAA